rnacentral:rRNA from 1 species
GGAGCACAGGUUUACCUGUGUGACUGCGUACCUUUUGUAUAAUGGGUCAGCGACUUAUAUUCUGUAGCAAGGUUAACCGAAUAGGGGAGCCGGAGGGAAACCGAGUCUUAAUUGGGCGUUAAGUUGCAGGGUAUAGACCCGAAACCCGGUGAUCUAGCCAUGGGCAGGUUGAAGGUUGGGUAACACUAACUGGAGGACCGAACCGACUAAUGUUGAAAAAUUAGCGGAUGACCUGUGGCUGGGGGUGAAAGGCCAAUCAAACCGGGAGAUAGCUGGUUCUCCCCGAAAGCUAUUUAGGUAGCGCCUCGUGAAUUCAUCUCCGGGGGUAGAGCACUGUUUCGGCUAGGGGGCCAUCCCGGCUUACCAACCCGAUGCAAACUGCGAAUACCGGAGAAUGUUAUCACGGGAGACACACGGCGGGUGCUAACGUCCGUCGUGAAGAGGGAAACAACCCAGACCGCCAGCUAAGGUCCCAAAGUCAUGGUUAAGUGGGAAACGAUGUGGGAAGGCCCAGACAGCCAGGAUGUUGGCUUAGAAGCAGCCAUCAUUUAAAGAAAGCGUAAUAGCUCACUGGUCGAGUCGGCCUGCGCGGAAGAUGUAACGGGGCUAAACCAUGCACCGAAGCUGCGGCAGCGACGCUUAUGCGUUGUUGGGUAGGGGAGCGUUCUGUAAGCCUGUGAAGGUGUGUCGUGAGGC